UUUGAAUGGCUUGGGCCUACUUAGGCUUGUAGCAUGGUUGGGCGUGAAACAAUAAUUUCCUACUUGGUGUGGCAUGUUGCUUGGUACGCUCUAAUUUUAUUGUCCUUAGAGAGGGACACGGUGCUUAUUUUAGCAUGAGCUUGUAUUUUAUAACCUUACCCCAGUUCCUGGCAUGACAAAUUAUUUAUUUAGCAUGGCACGUGGGCUGUGACUUGUAUAUGAC
rnacentral:lncRNA from 1 species